CUGAACUAGAUUAUUGAUGGGUGUUUUUUGGUAAUAUUGUGAUCAGAGGUGGACAAUCCAUGUGCCAGGAGUAAAAGUCCUCUCCAGUAUUUUGUUACAAUCACCUGGAUUUGCUAAUUAGCACAGUUUUUCAGCAGGAGGUGACCUCCGGGCUCGCUGGUGUUUUAAGCCCUCAACGAAGCCUUCAAGGCAGCGCUGUCUGGAAGGCACUCCCCGUGCCCCGAGCGUUUCAGCCAAUCACAGCACUGGUGCUAGAUAUCAAGCCUUCCGCCAGCUUCUGGCAGUUUGAGCUCACCGUUGGUCAGCAUCUACGGCUAUAUUCAUGGUGAGAACUAGUGAUGGGCAGUCCGGCUCUUUCCAUUGAUUCGGCUCUUUCGGCUCAAGCUCCGGCUCUACAUUUUAGUGAUGGCAGUCCGGCUCUUUUCAUAGAUUCGGCUCUUCUGGGUCGGCUCCCUUAGAAGAGCCGGCUCCCCUGCCUGCGUCUGAAGAUUCGGCUCUGCUCGUUAGCUACAAAGAAUCAGCUCUUUAGCCGGCUCGUUCGCGAAUGACCCAUCACUAGUGAGAACCAGGAAACCGGAGUACCUGGAGUAAACCCACGCUGACACAGGGAGAACAUGCAGAAACUCCACAGAAAGGUCACCUGCCCUAGCCGGGGCUUGAACCGGGAACCUUCUCGCUGUGAGGCAACAGUGCUACCCACUGUGUCACCCCCAUUCAUUGUUCAAAACAGGUGGAUUUGCUGACAGCAUUGAACCAAAAGAUAAGAAUACAAAUAUAAUCAAGACUGAAGGAGAAUCUGUGACACUGAGCUGCACAUAUGAAGCAAGCAGCCUCUAUGUUUAUCUUUACUGGUACAGAC